rnacentral:sRNA from 1 species
UGUGUUGAUUUCAGGUAAUUUGGAGCUGUUGACUAGCUAAUUGGAAGAAGCGGAAAGGAAUCAUGUCAAACCACUCGACCAGUCAAGAUCUCAACAGACCACUCGACCCCCUGGUCGAGUAGAAGACCUCAGCACUCCACGUCACAACUUGACCCACAUGGUCGAGUACGACCAGGACUACCACUCGAUCACAUUACUCGACCCCCUGGUCGAGUAUCAUCCCGUCCACCACAUCACCUUCACUCGAUCACACUACUCGACCACCUGGUCGAGUACCUUCAUCACCUUCACUCGAUCACUCUACCACCAAGCCGAGUACCACCAUCCCUAUCACUAGACUACAUACUCGAUUGCCAGCUUCAGAGUCUUCUUCAUUCCGCACUCAACCAGACACUCGAGCACAAGGAAGAAAAGAAGACUCUAGCUUAUCACUCGACCUCUCACUCGACCACCUGGGUCGAGUGCCGUUCUUAAUCUGUCCCAAGACUGCGUCGUUUUGAGUAUUAGGGUUUCACAAAUAUUUUGCUAUAAGUAGCAUGUACUUUACAUU